CAGUCGCCGCGGGAACACGUAGGUGGCAAGCGUUGUCCGGAAUUAUUGGGCGUAAAGCGCGCGCAGGUGGUUUAAUAAGUCUGAUGUGAAAGCCCACGGCUCAACCGUGGAGGGUCAUUGGAAACUGUUAAACUUGAGUGCAGGAGAGAAAAGUGGAAUUCCUAGUGUGGCGGUGAAAUGCGUAGAGAUUAGGAGGAACACCAGUGGCGAAGGCGGCUUUUUGGCCUGUAACUGACACUGAGGCGCGAAAGCGUGGGGAGCAAACAGGAUUAGAUACCCCCGUAGUCCCUGUCUCUUAUAC
rnacentral:rRNA from 1 species